UCAGUGUGUGGCUGUCGUAUGGGACAUAGACACAUCUUCCAUUGUUGCCUUAAACGAACGAGGGGAGCCGGAGCAACAGGGCCAACCGCCGCGGACACCUGCGUGUAGCUCCCGUUCUCAGCACCAUUCGUUGCAAUGGUUGCCAACUAUCAAAGAACUAUCCCCCCCUUCUUUCUGAUAUUGUUUAAGGGUUACGAAAUUCAAAGUCAACACUCACAGCCAAAGUAGUCAUAUUAGAUUGCUUCUAGUAGUCAGUAGAUCUGCCUGUGCUAAGAUCUGGUGUGACAAACCAAUGCACCACUGCUGGACGAACAAAGGAUUUUGAGAAGACGUUCUUCUUCACCCUCUAGACAAUUAUUGACAUUCUGAAUCAUCAACAUUGAACAAGGAUGAUCCCCUCUUCCCCAGCCCAU